rnacentral:lncRNA from 1 species
CCAUAUCUGCCUUCUCUUUGGCGAGUCGAUCAUACUUCCUCUUCCAAAACUUGGAAGACUGAGGAAGUAGAGAAGUCAAUGCAUCAUCAGGAUCAUCAAUAACCUGGUGCUCAAGGAACUCUAUCAAAGCAUCCUUCUCCUUGAUCUGCUGAAGCAACUCCUCUCGUUCACGGAUCCAAGCACGUGAACGGUCUUCGUCUCUCAACUCCUCUACUCCUUGGCUAGGGAGGGUUGAAGGCC